rnacentral:rRNA from 1 species
UGGGGGAUAUUGCACAAUGGGCGAAAGCCUGAUGCAGCGACGCCGCGUGGGGGAUGAAGGCCUUCGGGUUGUAAACUUCUUUUGCUCUGAACAAGGCGCACCAUGGGGUGUGUUGAGUGUAGGGGUUGAUUAGCGCCGGCUAACUACGUGCCAGCAGCCGCGGUAAUACGUAGGGCGCGAGCGUUGUCCGGAAUUAUUGGGCGUAAAGGGCUUGUAGGUGGCUGGUUGCGUCUGUCGUGAAAGCUCAUGGCUUAACUGUGGGUUUGCGGUGGGUACGGGCUGGCUUGAGUGCAGUAGGGGAGGCUGGAAUUCCUGGUGUAGCGGUGGAAUGCGCAGAUAUCAGGAGGAAUACAGGUGGCGAAGGCGGGUCUCUGGGCUGUUACUGACACUGAGGAGCGAAAGCAUGGGGAGCGAACAGG